UUGUCUCUCUCUGUAAAGGUGGCGACUUCAGCAAGGUGGAUGUUUGUAAUGGCGGUGCUAGAGCUGGAGGGUGGUGGUGGCGUGGUGCAGUAGGAUAAGCCUUGAUUUGGAGCUUUAUAAGCAUACUCAACACACCUUCGUCUGUGCAGGAGACGGUUCAAGUGUUGCAGGAGAUGCCAGAGGAUGAUAGGUUCAAAAAGGUUUCACAUACUAAGCAUGCGGAACACCUCAUUGAGCAGCAAAAAAGUCCUCUCAUGCAGGAAUCACUUAAUCUCUUGUAGGCUCCCGGGGAAGACUACUCUGUUGAACCCGGUGAAAGUUGAAGGUCCUUCUGUUCUCUUCUUGAUGUUGGAAAUCUAAAAAAAUAACUACAGGAUACCGAAUCUGUAGUGCUUUAAAGGGUGCAUUGGACGGAGGACUUGACAUUCCUCAAAGUGCCUCAUUUAUGGUACAUGUUCUGGAACAAGGUGGCAUUGGGAUCAACUUAUUGGAGACAUGACUACUCUGACCACCCCCCGCCCAGCCCUCGAUUGGUAUGCCGUGUGGAUAGAGAUAGUAGUGUUGUUCUAGUGUUGGGAAGGACACAAUAGGCGCUACCAUCCUGCAUUCCAUCUUCCAUUAAAAAAGACUUUGAAGCGUCAGCUGAUGUAAGUAGAUAUCUUCCCUUUCUAAUGCCUUUGCUUAUGGUUGUCAAAACUCAAAAUUAUCUUAGUCAGAUAAUUUUCCUUUAUCAUCUUUUAUUUCUCUUUGGAUUCUAUUUGUAUUGUCAGGUAGUAUUUCGUAAAUGGAUU